UACAGAGGUCUCAAGCGUUGUUCGGAUUCCUUGGGCGUAAAGGGUGUGUAGGUGGCGCCGUCAGUCGGGUGUGAAAUUUCGGAGCUUAACUCCGAAACUGCAUUCGAUACUGCGGUGCUUGAGGACUGGAGAGGAGACUGGAAUUCAUGGUGUAGCAGUGAAAUGCGUAGAGAUCAUGAGGAACACCGGUGGCGAAGGCGGGUCUCUGGGCAGUAACUGACGCUGAGGAGCGAAAGCGUGGGGAGCGAACAGG
rnacentral:rRNA from 1 species